GGAGAGGUGUCCGAGCGGUUUAAGGAUGCAGUCUUGAAAACUGCCGAUGUGAAAGCAUCCGUGGGUUCGAAUCCCACCCUCUCCG
rnacentral:tRNA from 1 species